UGGCCCAAGUCCACUAACAAAAGAUCCGAUAUAAAUCUACUUAGGAAACUUCUAGUAGACAAAUUAGGAAAGCCAUAGGUCACUCCUUUAACUCUUCGUCCCUUUCGUUGUUCCCGUGGAUGGUGACCGAUUUUCAUCACCGUCCUCAGAUUAAGCUCCGGUAGACUUGUUAAAGUUGUAACCCAAGAAAAGAAAGAAAUCAAAAAGCUCAAACAUCCAACUAGCUAGAUUCAAAGUCAAUCCGUUUGAAGCUCUUGUAGAUAGCACCAUGGACACUCCAAAAAUUCUCACAAGUAUCGUGUAUCUAAUUCAGUGAAGAUUCCUUCAGCUUCAAACACAAUCAAUUUUGUAGAUCUAAAACCUCGGUUCUAACGUCCGACAUUCCACUUGAGGCUAGUAUGAUUCCGUACCAUAUCAUAGAGUGUUUGGUGAGUCCUCAUCAUUCAAAGAUAGGUUAUAAACAUUUUUUUUGAGUAUUAUUUUUGUUUCAAAUAGUUAGAGUUAGUUGGAGGCUUGUCCCAAUAACUCAUCUUAUUUGAAGGCUUCCAGACAAUCAACUAAUCAACUAGAUUAUGUUUUCAACUUUAUGGGUUUUAUUAAGAUAUUUUCACUUGUGCU